rnacentral:rRNA from 1 species
UACGUAGGGUGCAAGCGUUAAUCGGAAUUACUGGGCGUAAAGCGUGCGCAGGCGGUGAUGUAAGACAGUUGUGAAAUCCCCGGGCUCAACCUGGGAACUGCAUCUGUGACUGCAUCGCUGGAGUACGGUAGAGGGGGAUGGAAUUCCGCGUGUAGCAGUGAAAUGCGUAGAGAUGCGGAGGAACACCGAUGGCGAAGGCAGCCCCCUGGGCUAACACUGACGCUCAGGCACGAAAGCGUGGGGAGCAAACAGG